rnacentral:rRNA from 1 species
AUUGAACGCUGGCGGCAGGCCUAACACAUGCAAGUCGAGCGGCAGCACGGGUACUUGUACCUGGUGGCGAGCGGCGGACGGGUGAGUAAUGCCUAGGAAUCUGCCUGGUAGUGGGGGAUAACGCUCGGAAACGGACGCUAAUACCGCAUACGUCCUACGGGAGAAAGCAGGGGACCUUCGGGCCUUGCGCUAUCAGAUGA